AGCGAACGCUGGCGGCAGGCCUAAUACAUGCAAGUCGAACGGGUAUAUAGGGCUUGCUCUAUAUGCUAGUGGCAGACGGGUGAGGAACGCGUGGGAACGUACCCUAAAGUUCGGAAUAACUAUUGGAAACGAUAGCUAAUACCGGACGUGGCCGAGAGGCUAAAGGUUUACCGCUUUGGGAGCGGCCCGCGUUAGAUUAGCUAGUUGGUGGGGUAAAGGCCUACCAAGGCGAUGAUCUAUAGCUGGUCUGAGAGGAUGACCAGCCACACUGGGACUGAGACACGGCCCAGACUCCUACGGGAGGCAGCAGUGGGGAAUAUUGGACAAUGGGGGCAACCCUGAUCCAGCAAUGCCGCGUGAAUGAUGAAGGCCUUAGGGUUGUAAAGUUCUUUUAUUGAUGACGAUAAUGACGGUAAUCAAUGAAUAAGCACCGGCUAACUUCGUGCCAGCCGCCGCGGUAACAC
rnacentral:rRNA from 1 species